CCGCGCCGGGGACCGCGCUCAGGGACCGGCUGGGCCGCGCCGGGGACAGCGCUCAGGGACUGCCGGGCAGCGGGCCUAGGAGAGAACAGAAUUGCUUCGCGCUGCUGCCGGAGCCUCCCGGUUCGUCUGAGUCCCGGCCGAGCCGGGGCUCGGCUGGCAGCCCUGAGGGGAACCGCGCGGUGCGAUGGCAGCUGGCUACUGCUGCUUUGUUUUUAUAAAAAAAUACCUAAAUUCAGGCAGCGCCAGUCAGUCGCCUCCCUCCCCCGGCACCACGCUGCCCGGAAUAAUUGGGUGGUCAGGCGUUGGAAGGGGCUGCCCAAGGGAGGGGGUGGAAUCACAUCCCUGGAGGUGUUUGAGGCAUCUCGAUGUGGCACUGAGGGAUGUUUAAUGGUUUGGGGCUACAGUGGCAGUGCUGGAUGGACAGUUGGUCUCUUCCAACCUUGAUGACUCUGAUUCUUGUUUUCCUGCUGAUUUUGUACUCUCAGAACAGAGAAUGCCAAAUGUAUUUGGCAUAACUCAUGCCUUUGACAAGUUCACUGUUAACCCUGUGCCUUGCAAGGUCUUAAACAAAUGAAAAAAAAGCCCCAACUUGCCCUUUAGAUCAAAAAAAAUUAGGUACAGGCUUCUCUGAACAGAUGAAAAGAAACACAGAAAGUAUUGAACCAAAUGGAAGAAGCUUUAAACAGAAUGAUAUGGCUAAUGGACCUGCAGGGCACACGGAGUCCUGGGCAUGCCAUAUGUACACAGCAGCUCCCAGAGCCAUCGUGCCUUUGAUGGUGGGCAGGAAGUGUAACAAUCACCCAGAAUCACAGAAUAUCCUGACCGGGAAGGGACCGAGGAUCAUCGAGUUCAAUUCCUGCACAGGACACCCCAACAAUCCUCAGAGCCUUGUCCGAAUGACAAGACCUCAACAAAACACUAGACCAAACUAGAAAGAGAAUAAAGUUCCCAGAGAGGCAAAAGGCUGCCCCGUACGCCGGGGGGCGACACGAGACCACAAAGCUCCCUCAGACCCUCAGCUUGACCUCCCUGCACCGCCCCACCCGCUGCCCUCACACGGCCCCGCCCAGCCUCGCGCGCAAGCGCACCCGGAUCACGUGCCCCGGAUUCCAAUUCUAUUGGGCGAUAGGAGGGCGGGGCCAAGCCCUUUAUAAAGCAGUGCGCGGCCCGGUUCGGGCCUUUCUUCCGGCGUGGGCAGUGAGGUGAGUGGUGUGGUGGGCAUGAAGCGGGGCGGGCGGUGAGGCCGGGCCGCGAUGAUGUCUCUUGACACGUGUUAGACUGCUGACAUGCAUGAAGCAAAACUACUACUGAGCGCCCCGGCUGCGUCCACCCUGCGGGGCGGUCGGGGUGUACCGCGUCAAUAACCUCCUCUUUUCUCUCGGUGUUUCACAGGGUCCGUAUGGCGACCGGCGGCAGGGAGCGGCGGUAAAUAAAGCUUGUUUAAACCAAAACGUGUCUGGCUGGUUCUUCAACGCGAGCCUGCACUGCCUUUGACCCGGCCGUGCCCGCCUGGCGCCGCCGGCCAAGCAGCGGUGCUACAGCAAAGCGCUUGUUCAUAACUGGCGCUGCUCGGCCCGACCCGGGCGGCGCUUUUAAA